GAUGAACGCUGGCGGCGUGCCUAACACAUGCAAGUGGAGCGACGAACCCGGACUUGUCCGGGGGCAAAGCCGCGAACGGGUGAGUAACACGUGGAUUAUCUGCCCCAAUGACCGGGACAACCCGAGGAAACUCGGGCUAAUACCGGAUGUGCUCUUCGGAGGAAAGGAAGCUUCGGCCUCCGCAUUGGGAUGAGUCCGCGGCGCAUUAGCUAGUUGGUGGGGUAAUGGCCUACCAAGGCGACGAUGCGUAGCUGGUCUGAGAGGACGAUCAGCCACACUGGAACUGAGAAACGGUCCAGACUCCUACGGGAGGCAGCAGUGGGGAAUCUUGCGCAAUGCACGAAAGUGUGACGCAGCAACGCCGCGUGCGGGAAGAAGGUCUUCGGAUCGUAAACCGCUUUCAGUUGGGACGAGGGUCAGCUGGUGAAUAGCCAGUCUGACUGACGGUACCUUCAGAAGAAGCCCCGGCUAACUACGUGCCAGCCGCCGCAGUAAGAC
rnacentral:rRNA from 1 species